CACGUUUAGAUGUUAGCCAUUUAUUAUUGUCAAUUUAGACAUCAAUUUUGGUCCCAUUUUAAAUUUCAAGUUGUGGACCUAUUUUUAAACUAUUUUAAUCUCAGCCUUUGAUCGAAGUUGAUCCAACAGCUGAGAUCGAAUCUCCAUUCCUUUCCUUUAGACCAACAUUCCAAACCCUAAUCCCAUUUUCAACAAACCAGCCACACCCCUCCUCUUUACUCUCUUUUUCUCUCUCCUCUCUCUCUAUCUAUCAAUAGCUGCCGCCGCCGGCCAGCCACCACAUCUGAGAAACCCGACAUCGGCCACCAUGGCUGGUGCAACACCUCCACCGCGUCUGUCUCCUCUCUCUUUUCUCUUUUUCCAUCCCCAUCGGCGAAUACGCCGCCUACCGCCACCUAACACCAACAAACCCAUCCCCACCGGUGAAAAUGUCGCAUGCAUCCGCCGGCGAACCCCCUCUCCCCGCUCUCUUGCUCUCUAGUCCACGCCUCUAUCUUCCCCGUUCCAGCUGACGCCGCCGCCAACCACAGCAACCACAACAGUCGCUGGAGAGCACCGGCGGCGCCACCAGUGAGCCGGCUAGCCUCUUCUCCUCUGCGCCGCUGAUCGAUUUUUGCCAAAGCAUGUUUUAAUUUAUGACGGAUUCACAAGAAUCCAUCUCAGGCAUUAUUGAACUUUCUUAACGGAUGAAGAGUUAUUGAGAAAUUGAGAUUUGUCGUGGGAUUGUCUUAUUUCGGCCCACUAUUUUUCGUCUUUCUUUUAUUCAUUCAUAUAGUUUGUAAUAAUUCCCUGUAUAAACAUUGAUGUAAUAAUAAUAAUUGGGACUGCUCA